rnacentral:tRNA from 1 species
AGCGGGGUGGAGCAGUGGUAGCUCGUCGGGCUCAUAACCCGAAGGUCGCAGGUUCGAACCCUGCCCCCGCUA